rnacentral:rRNA from 1 species
UACGAAGGGGGCUAGCGUUGCUCGGAAUUACUGGGCGUAAAGGGUGCGUAGGCGGCUUUUCAAGUAAGAUGUUAAAGCCUUGGGCUUAACCCAAGAACUGCAUUUUAAACUGGAAGGCUAGAGUGUGACAGAGGAAAGCGGAAUUCCUAGUGUAGAGGUGAAAUUCGUAGAUAUUAGGAGGAACACCAGAGGCGAAGGCGGCUUUCUGGGUCACUACUGACGCUGAGGCACGAAAGCGUGGGGAGCAAACAGG